UACGUAGGGGGCAAGCGUUAUCCGGAUUUACUGGGUGUAAAGGGAGCGUAGACGGCGAUGCAAGCCAGAUGUGAAAGCCCGGGGCUCAACCCCGGGACUGCAUUUGGAACUGUAUAGCUAGAGUGUCGGAGAGGCAGGCGGAAUUCCUAGUGUGGCGGUGAAAUGCGUAGAUAUUAGGAGGAACACCAGUGGCGAAGGCGGCCUGCUGGACGAUGACUGACGUUGAGGCUCGAAAGCGUGGGGAGCAAACAGG
rnacentral:rRNA from 1 species